AUUGAACGCUGGCGGCAGGCCUAACACAUGCAAGUCGAACGAGUGGCGGACGGGUGAGUAAUGUCUGGGAAACUGCCUGAUGGGGGGGGAUAACUCCUGGAAACGGUAGCUAAUACCGCAUACCAUCAGAUGGGCCCAGAUGGGUUUAGUUAGUUGGUGGGGUAACUGCUCACCAAGGCGACGAUCCCUAGCUGGUCUGAGCGGAUGACCAGCAACACGGGGACUGGGACACGGUGCAGAGUCCUACGGGAGGCAGCAGUGGGGAAUAUUGCACAAGGGGCGCAAGCCUGAUACAGCCAUGCCGCGUGUGUGAAGAAGGCCUUCGGGUUGUAAAGUACGUUCAGCGGGGAGGCGUUACCCGCAGAAGAAGCACCGGCUAACUCCGUGCCAGCAGCCGCGGUAAUAC
rnacentral:rRNA from 1 species